CUCGUCGUAGCUCAGUUGGUAGAGCGGUGGACUGUAGAAGGCACUGAAAUCCAUCGGUCACUGGUUCGAUUCCGGUCGACGAGA
rfam:Fragilariopsis cylindrus CCMP1102 unplaced genomic scaffold FRACYscaffold_20, whole genome shotgun sequence.